GGAAGGGAGAGAGGUAGCUGAGAUCUCAUGCUGCAGUCUAAUGUGAAUGGAGAGCUGCACUGUGAAGGUAUUCACCCAAUUAUAGAAACAUAAAAGCAUGGGGAUUGCCAAAUUGGAUUGAACAAGCGAUCAAUCUUGUCACUGAUCACGGCCAAUAUUAGAGGAUUCAGAGGAAAGUACAAGAAACCCAACACCAAAUUGAAAGGCUGAGGUAACAGAAGUGGAACACGGCACUGAUGUGACAGGUCUGAACCCAGUUUGAGGAACAUCAGGAAUGUUUGGAUAUUGCCUCCAGUAUACCAACCAAUCAAGAAAAUCCAAAAUCCAAUGAAUUCUCUGCUUUGAGACAAUCAAUCUUUAUUCUCUCUACAUGCACAUUUAUCAACAAAAGUGGCAGUUUUUGUUUCUUUUUUCUUUUUUUGUC